AGAAAAUCUUGAAGAAUCCAUUGAAGAGUUGAAGGUUAAGAAAAUAAUAUAUUAAAUUAUUUAAUUGAUUUAAGAUUACUAAAUUUUAAGUGAUGAAUGUUGUAGGAUAUUUUUCAUUAUUCUUAUGAGAUCAACUUUUGGGUGGAGGAGAAAAUCCAUGAAAAAUGGAAGGCAGGCAAACGUAACAUGAGGUUGAAAUAUUUCGAUGAGAAGAAGACUGAUGCACAAAACUUAGCCACGGGACUAUUUGUCACGAGGAGGCUUCCGUGGCAAGUGACCUUUUGCCACGGAUUUUUGUCAACUGCCACGGUUUUUUGGCGUGACUAAAACUUAGUAUUUUAGUAGUGGUUAAGCUUGAGACUAUGGCUUGAAUUUCAUGACGCAUCAACUUGAAGAUUCAAACAUACAUCUGGAAUGGUGUUCAGAUUCUAAGCAGUAUGUCAAAGUUUGAUCCAACGGUGAUGAGACCUGUGCUUGUUGAUGUAUAAUGUUUGUAAUCAUUUGUAUUGAUAAAUCGUUCAUUACAUCAUAACCCAAUAUAGUGAAUAGAAAAUAAGCUUUCUGCACUUUGCAGAAAGUUAAGAGUAUACUUAAAGUGUGAAUCUCAUUGAAAAAGGCUGACUAGCUUAUCUUUCAACUUUCGGGAUCCUCCCUCAUUCAGUUGUUCAAAAGCCGUGCAGACUCAACAUUCUUUCAUUAUGGAAUUUCGCGCUGAAUGAUGCACAAAACAUGACUAGACCUCUUUGUUCUGGGUCUAGUACAGCAGCAAGAGAAGAUGAAGUUGGAAUUGUUAAGCUUCACCGUUCCAUUGUCUAUCUAGUGAGCAGAUUUUAUGCACCAAAUCCCUCUUGGAAUUCGUAGGGGAGUUGUCCAGUGAUUCAAGAAUAAUUAUGCACCCAGGUGGUAGAGUGUAUUGUUCAACCAACCAACUUUCAAGCAGCUGACUAAUCAUUAACCUGGCCAAUCCAACUAUCAGCUUUGUACUUGUACGCGACAGGAAAAAUUAAUCGUCUAUCGUGAAGAUCAGGUUCGCCGACCGUAAAGUAAGUAUACCACCAAUACUGGAAAAUAACAUUGACGAAAAUUGAUGUAUUAAUACAUUCACCACAAGUUUGACAACUCGAUAAUAAAUCUAAUAAAUAGUUCUU